rnacentral:rRNA from 1 species
GACGAACGCUGGCGGCGUGCCUAAUACAUGCAAGUUGAGCGCUGAAGGUUGGUACUUGUACCGACUGGAUGAGCAGCGAACGGGCGAGUAACGCGUGGGGAAUCUGCCUUUGAGCGGGGGACAACAUUUGGAAACGAAUGCUAAUACCGCAUAAAAACUUUAAACACAAGUUUUAAGUUUGAAAGAUGCAAUUGCAUCACUCAAAGAUGAUCCCGCGUUGUAUUAGCUAGUUGGUGAGGUAAAGGCUCACCAAGGCGAUGAUACAUAGCCGACCUGAGAGGGUGAUCGGCCACAUUGGGACUGAGACACGGCCCAAACUCCUACGGGAGGCAGCAGUAGGGAAUCUUCGGCAAUGGACGAAAGUCUGACCGAGCAACGCCGCGUGAGUGAAGAAGGGUUUCGGAUCGUAAAACUCUGUUGGUAGAGAAGAACGUUGGUGAGAGUGGAAAGCUCAUCAAGUGACGGUAACUACCCAGAAAGGGACGGCUAACUACGUG